rnacentral:rRNA from 1 species
UGGGGAAUAUUGGACAAUGGACCAAAAGUCUGAUCCAGCAAUUCUGUGUGCGCGAUGGCGGUCUUAGGAUUGUAAAGUGCUUUCAAUCGGGAAAAAGAAAGUGAUGGUACUGAUAAAAGAAGCGACGGCUAAAUACGUGCCAGCAGCCACGGUAAUACGUAUGUCGCAAGCGUUAUCCGGAUUUAUUGGGCGUAAAGCGCGUCUAGGCGGUCUGGUAAGUCUGAUGUGGAAAUGCGGGGCUCAACUCCGUAUUGCGUUGGAAACUGCCAGACUAGAGUACUGGAGAGGUGGGCGGAACUACAAGUGUAGAGGGAAAUUCGGUAGAUAUUUGUAGGAAAUGCCGAUAGAGAAGUCAGCUCCCUGGACAGAUACUGACGCUGAAGCGCGAAAGCAUGGGGAGCUUACAG